UGCUAUGCCGACAUGUUGUCAUC
rnacentral:miRNA from 13 species